UGGGGUGUACCUCAGUGGUAGAGUAUCUGCCCAGUCUGUACAAGGUCCUGGAUUCAAUUCCCAGCAACUCAC
rnacentral:tRNA from 1 species